AGUGAACGCUGGCGGUAGGCCUAACACAUGCAAGUCGAACGGUAGCACAGUAAGAGCUUGCUCUUACGGGUGGCGAGUGGCGGACGGGUGAGGAAUACAUCGGAAUCUACUUUUUCGUGGGGGAUAACGUAGGGAAACUUACGCUAAUACCGCAUACGACCUACGGGUGAAAGCAGGGGAUCUUCGGACCUUGCGCGAUUGAAUGAGCCGAUGUCGGAUUAGCUAGUUGGCGGGGUAAAGGCCCACCAAGGCGACGAUCCGUAGCUGGUCUGAGAGGAUGAUCAGCCACACUGUAACUGAGACACGGUCCCGACUCCUACGGGAGGCAGCAGUGGGGAAUAUUGGACAAUGGGCGCAAGCCUGAUCCAGCCAUACCGCGUGGGUGAAGAAGGCCUUCGGGUUGUAAAGCCCUUUUGUUGGGAAAGAAAAGCAGCAGGUUAAUACCCCGCUGUUCUGACGGUACCCAAAGAAUAAGCACCGGCUAACUUCGUG
rnacentral:rRNA from 1 species